rnacentral:rRNA from 1 species
AUGCUUAAUUUCCGUGACUCCCUAGAGGCUUGUGAACUGACUGAUCUUGGUUUUACAGGUCACCCCUUCACAUAUGAUAAUAGAAGAAGCGGAAGGGCAAAUGUCCAGGUGAGGCUUGACAGAGCCGUGCCUUCGAAUGACUGGAGGGACAUGUUCAUGCAUGCGUUGGUGACACACUUAGUCUCGCCGGCGUCGGAGCACUGCCCUCUACUACUCAAAUGCUCUUUGGAGGAGGACCGGCGGCCCAAGAGUGUCUGACGAUAUGAGCUAAUGUGGGAGAGGUCGUCGGCGAUGGAAUCCAUCAUUGUGAACUCAUGGACGAGCCGAGGUACGAAUCAGAAUCCUGGUGAUGUUAGAGAGGCCCUGGCUAAGGUAAUGGAUGACUUGCAUAUUUGGAGCAAUAAACUUUGGUAAUGUAAGAGAGAGCUUGAAAAGUCUCAGUCUCGGUUGGAAGAACUUACUAACAUGAAUGCAGAUCGACAGGAGAUACGAGCGGAGAUGGAUAAAAUGAAUGAAUUACUAUACAAGGAAGAGAUGAUA